rnacentral:tRNA from 1 species
GGGGUUGUGGCUCAGUGGUAGAGCAGUCGCCAGCACGGGUGAGGCCCUGGGUUCAAUCCUCAGCACCCCA